rnacentral:rRNA from 1 species
UACAGAGGUCCCAAGCGUUGUUCGGAUUCACUGGGCGUAAAGGGUGCGUAGGUGGUGAGGUAAGUCGGAUGUGAAAUCUCCUGGCUCAACUGGGAGCUUGCAGGCGAAACUGCCGUGCUGGAGUAUGGGAGAGGUGCGUGGAAUUCCUGGUGUAGCGGUGAAAUGCGUAGAUAUCAGGAGGAACACCUGUGGCGAAAGCGGCGCACUGGACCACAACUGACGCUGAGGCGCGAAAGCUAGGGGAGCAAACAGG